AUAAUUUCAAUUUGAUAAAUGAAUGAUCCAUAAUAGAUAUACUAUAUAAUAUAACAUUCCCUAUCAAUUUAAUUUUGGACUAACGAAAAUCUCAAUUGAUUCUCAAGCCGACACCUAAGCAAAAUUAGCAUUCGAAUUACCUGACAACUCAGCAGGACACUUUUUUAAUUAGUACAAAUUACAAGUUAUAACUUUUUAAACGUUUCUCAAUUAAUAUAUAGAAGAUUUUUUUUUUGUUUUCGUAUAUUCAUGAUAUACAAAAAAAUUAAACCUUAUAAAUUUAAACCUUAAACUUUUUGUAUAUUCAGGGCCACGAAAAACAUAAUAUAGCAGUACAAAUUAAAUAGUUUACCUAAACACUAAAAUACGAUUUCCUAAAAUGUAGACAUGUUGAUAGUUUACAUAUUCUAAAGUUAUUACUAAUUGAUUUAAAUUUAUUAACCAUAUUGUUUGGAAAGAAGUCACACUAUAGUUCUUUAAUACACUAGGGAUUAACCCAGGCUACAACCGAGAUUUUUAUUUUUUUUCUAAUUUAAGUUGUUAAAUUAUUUAUAUUUAGCUUAUGAUAUAUAUUUAUAUAAAUGUUACGAUGCAUGUCAUAAUUAAAAUUUAUUUUUAAAUUUUAACACGUUAAAUUAACAUAUUUUUUACUAUUUAAAUAUUUUUUGUAAUUUUGUUAGCUAUCUAGUUAUCAUAUUUAGC
rnacentral:lncRNA from 1 species